ensembl:misc_RNA Metazoa_SRP Metazoan signal recognition particle RNA
GCCGGGUGCAGUGGCAUAUGCCUGUAGUCCCAGUUACUCGGGAGGAUGGCUUGAGCCCAGGAGUUCUGGAGUAUAGUGUGCCCUGCUGAUUAGGUGUCUGCAGUAAGUUCAGCAUCAAUGUGGUGACCUCCUGGGAGCGAGGGACCACCUGGUAGCCUGAGGAGGGGUGAACUGGCCUAGGUCAAAAACAGAGCAGGUAAAACCCCUGUGCUGAUCAGUAGUGCAGUCGUGCUUCUGAAUACCCACUGAACUCCAGCAUGGGUAAGUGCAGU